GUAUACAGUAUGUUCUGUAUUGUUAAUCUUCAAUGUGAACAGGUCAGCUUCAUAUAUUUAUCUUUUUUUCUUUUUCUGCAGAUUGUACACAAGGGCAGGAGGCUUUUUGGUUUUAUAGGCCACGCUUUUCCGGAUGCGCUCUCCUUUGAUGUUAACUACAUGUGGCAAGAGUGGGCGCCGGACCGUCAGAACUGUUCCUUGAGUUCUUACAGGCCUGGCUGGACGCAGAGAUUAAUCCCUGCCUCAUCACCUCUCAAGGGUACAUGGAUAAUGGGUAAGAUUCAGCUUCUAUGUUUACAGGUGUUUCCAUGAAUUGGAAGUAAAUGGAUAAUAAUUUACUGUUUAUUUAACAGAUCUCUCUGUGUUUAGCACUAAGGACACAAAGACAGCUAUUACAAUAUGUUCUAUAUGGUCCCUACCCCCGAGGAGAUCAGAAGGUGGAAACAGCAAGUAAAUAAAUUACAAGGUAAGAAACGUGAUGAGAGGCAUCUACUAAGUACUGUGAUUGUGAAGGAAGUAAUGAAUGUGGUUUGGUCAAGGAAAACAUUAAUGAAGAGCAGAAUUUGAAAAACAGAUAAAAGUUACUCAGUGGAAAGGUAUCCUGGGUUAGUAUCAUGUACAGACACAGAAAUUGGAAAAAGGAUAAUGAGUUCAGAGAACUGUAGUUUAACUGUGCAGAGUAUGUUAUGUGUGUGUGUGCAUUAGUGAUGAGGCUAUCUAUCAGUUUAGACUUCUCUCAGUAAUGUGGAACUACUAAGGAAUUAUAAGCAGGAAAGAGAAAAGAAUCAAAAAAGAAUACUGUGGUCUGCUUUGUAUUUUGGAAAAAUCUGCGUAGUGCAGGGUUUCUCAACCUCAGCACUAUUGACCUUUUGGGCCAAAUAAUUCUUUGUCUCGGGAGGCUGUCCUGUGCAUUGCACAAUUUUUAGCAGCCUCUGCUCAGCAUCCAGCAAGUUGUGAAAACCAAAAAUGCCUCCAGUCUUUGUCAAAUGUUCCCUUGAGGUGAAAGUCAACCCUGGUUGAGAACUACAGCUGUGGUGGGGUAGGGCGGGCAGAACGCAGUAAAACUGGGAGCUGGGAAAAUACCUAAGGAUCUCAAAACAGCCUAAAGAAAGUAGAUUACAGUUUGGACGAUGAGGCUGGUCUCAGUGAUAAUUAGGAGGCAGGAUUGACUUUGACUUGGAAGGUAAGAAAACCAGAAGGCAAGGAUGAGCCACAGAGCAGCCCAAGAAACCAUUUGUAUUACACCGGGAGAGAAGCCUCAGUGUUGUUUUGAGAAGUAUCAGUGAGUCCACUCUGAAGACUACACAGAUGCAUGGGGGUGGAGCCCUACCCUGCAAAUCCCACGUGUCUCUGGAGUAUUAACUUUAAGGCAGUUAUUUCGAUGGAGUUUUAGUUUCACUCUGGCUUUCUUAGGAAUCCAGAGAGAAAGAAGCAUUUACUUCCCAAGUCAGGUUGGUUUUAUCCUUGUUGAAGGGUGGGUGUGUAUUUUGUGUUUUGACUUAUUUUCAGUUGUAUGAGCAUUAAUUCAUGGUAAAUCACCUCUGCAUUGGACAUACCCGCUAUUUUUGCAGUAGGAUGUCCCAUAAUCUUCAUCACCACAAAUACUUACGUAGCAACCAUCUUAUUAAAAACACCAAACAGCUCAAAAUGGAAACCCAAGGGAGGCUACUGCUGUCUUUCACUCUAUUUUUUAAAAGCAUACAAUGCAUUUGUGAAAAGGUACAGAUUUAUUUUCAGAGUAGGUUACAUCUUAUGAAUAAUCUAGUAUGUAUUCCUUAAAAUAUUCAGCUUAUGUCAGUUAAG
ensembl:lncRNA